rnacentral:lncRNA from 1 species
CGACCAAGCUAACCUCAACCAAAAUCAGCAAUUUAGGGCUUCGUGGAUUCCUCUGGGAGUCUAGAAUCCAGCAAACCAAGUUUCGUCGAAAUCCGACCUUCCUACGUUGCGCACGAGCCAAAACACUGGAGGUCGUCGCUGAAGAACUGCAGAAUCAGCACUCCAUCAAGCUGGAUCAAUGGAAGUUUGAUGCAAUUUGAGGCAAAUCCGAGGGUUGAAAUGCUAAAAGAGACCUCUCUGUGAAGAAGGGAGAAAAAGAGCAGCUAAGGGGCGCAUUCCAUCUAUUUAUAGUGAGUUAGAAUGAUCCAAAAAGCCUCAGGAACUCAAGCUGCUAUCCAGUGUCCCUGCAGAAACGGGCGUUUCUGGGCGCCAGGAGCCAUGUUCUGGGCGACCAAAACAUCCAGCCUGCACAAAACGGGCUCCUCGGACUCUCUGCUCGCGGUGUGCUGCGCCCGUAAAUGGCUCCGGCGAAACUCACCUACCGCCUGCCACGCGUCGAAGCAAGCGAUAUUCACGAUGUCGAAUUUUCGGACCCACAUCUGGGCGCCCGGAACAUGGGAUCCGAAUUAGGCUUCCAGUUUCAGUUAAAUUCAACACUCGUUUCUGGGCGACCCUAACAAAUGUUCUGGGCGCCCGAAUCUGGCAAAACUCCAGUUUUGCUUAUUUGAGUGCACCAAGUCCAAUUCUGCAUCUAAUUCGUGCAGAAUUGACUCCGACUCAGUCCGACACUCUCCAGAGAUGUCGACCAGUCUACUAAUACUGAAGCCAACCCUAUCCAAAGCUCAGGAACACUACAUCCUCCCCCACUACAAAAAGUUUCGUCCGCGAAACUUUACACAUACCUCAAUCCAGAGCCUCAAACAGGUAGGGGUAGGACUCCUUCAUCACCGUCCUCCGGCUCCCAAGUCGCCUCCCGCUCCUCGUGAUUACUCCACUGCACCUUUACAAAGGGUAUGACCCGGUUGCGCAAUUCCCUCGACUGACGAGCCAGAAUCCGCACCGGUCGUUCCUCGUAGCUCAGGUCCUCUCCAAUCUCAAGCGGAGUGAAGUCAAUCACGUGGGAGGGGUCGAACACAUAUUUCCUCAAAGCCGAGACGUGGAAAACAUCGUGAAUGCCAGCUAGCCGUGGUGGUAGAGCAAUCCUGUAAGCAACUGGCCCGACUCACUCCAAUACCUCGAAAGGGCCUACAAAACGUGGACUGAGCUUUCCACAUACACCAAAUCGGCGAAUCCCUCUGGACGGCGAGACUUUAAGAAAAACAUGAUCUCCUACCUGAAACACCAAUUCUCGUCUCCGGGUAUCAGCAUAGCUCCUAUGUCAACUCUGGGCUGCUAAUAUGUGCCGUCGCACCUCUUUUACCUUUUCCUCAGCCUCAAUCAGAAUCUCAGGCCCAAGCGUCCUCCUUUCACCCACAUCACUCCAAAAUAAAGGGGACAGACAUCUGCGUCCAUACAACGCCUCAAACGGAGCCAUCUGGAUGCUCGCUUGAUAGCUGUUGUUGUACGCAAACUCAACCAGUCUCAAAUGGCAAUACCACCCUCCUCCAAAGUUCAGGACACAUGCCCUCAGCAUGUCCUCUAGAGUCUGAAUGGUUCGCUCUGACUGACCAUCUGUCUAUGGGUGAAACGCUGUGCUGAACUGCAACUGAGUGCCCAAGGCCGUCUGAAGACUCCCAAAAGUGCGAUACGAACCUCGGGUCCCGGUCGGAUACUAUCGAAGUGGGCACGCCAUGCAACCUCACUAUCUCAUCCAAAUACAACUGAGCGAGUCUCUCUCUCGACCAAGUGGUCUGCACUGGUAAGAAGUGAGCAGACUUGGUCAGUCUGUCCACUAUCACCCAAAUCGCAUCAAAACCACCCUGUGCUCUCGGCAAUCCGACGACAAAGUCCAUCGUGAUCUGCUCCCAUUUCCACUCGGGCACUGGUAGACUCUGCAAGCUUGCCAGCAGGUACCUGAUGCUCGGCCUUUACCUGUUGACAAGUCAGACACUGAGCCACAAAUCUACCAAUGUCCCUCUUCAUUCCAUUCCACCAAAACCGUACCUUUAAAUCCUUAUACAUCUUGGUUCCACCUGGAUGAACCGUAUAAGGAGAACAAUGAGCCUCUCUCAGAAUGUCAACUCGGAUCUCAGCAUCCAUAGGCACACACAGUCGGUCCCUGUACCGUAGUACUCCCGAACUGUCCAAAGCAAAACCCUCAGCCUGCCCCCUGUCUAGCUGCUCUCUAAUCCUCAACAAAUACGGAUCUCCACUCUGUUUCUCUCGGAUCCUAUCCAACAGAGUGGGCUAUAAAACUAAAGACGUCAGCCUCGCCGUAGACCCAGGGGGUACUAUCUCGAGUCCCAGCCGCUGCAGCUCCUCGAGUAGGGGUCUCUGCUCAGUGAUCCUCAAACUCAGGCUCUGCACUGUCUUCCUGCUCAACGCAUCUGCAACAACAUUCGCCCUGCUGGGAUGAUACUGAAUACUAAUGUCAUAGUCCUUCAGUAACUCCAACCACCGGCGUUGCCUCAGGUUCAGCUCUCUUUGUGUGAACAGAUACUUGAGACUUUUAUGAUCGGUGAAGACCUCGCAGUGCUCGCCGUACAAGUAAUGCCGCCAGAGCUUCAAAGCAAAACCACCGCGACAAGCUCCAAGUCAUGCGUAGGGUAAUUCUUCUCAUAAUCCUUUAAUUGCCGUGAAGCAUAAGCAAUUACCCUACCAUGCUGCAUCAACACGCAACCAAGUCCACUGUGCGAUGCAUCACUGUAGAUCACGAAUCCUUCGCCCAUAACAGGAAGGGCAAGGAUAGGAGCCGACGUCAAUCUCAGUCUCAACUCAUCAAAGCUCCUCUGACAGUCAUCGCUCCAGACAAAACGAAUCCCCUUCCGCGUCAAGCGUGUGAGGGGUGUGGAAAGCUUCGCAAAGCCUUCCACAAACCGACGGUAAUAUCCUGCCAGUCCCAGGAAGCUCCAUACCUCAGUAACCGUCGUCGGUCUAGGCCAAUCUCGAAUCGCCUCAAUCUUCUUUGGGUCCACUGCUACGCCCUCAGCUGAAAUCACGUGGCCCAAGAAAGCAACCUCCCGUAGACAGAACUCGCACUUCUUUAACUUGGCAUACAACUUCUUCUCUCGCAGAAGCUGUAGCACAAUCCUCAAGUGCUCCUCAUGCUCAGCAUCACUCCGGGAGUAAAUCAGGAUAUCGUCGAUGAAGACUACCACAAACCUAUCCAAGAACGGCUCGAACACUCUGUUCAUCAAAUCCAUGAAUGCAGCAGGGGCAUUCGUCAAUCCAAAAGGCAUCACCGUGAACUUAUAAUGCCCGUACCGAGUCCGAAAAGCCGUCUUGGGAACAUCCUCGGCCUCACCCUCAGCUGGUGGUAACCUGACUGGAGAUCAAUCUUCGAGAAGACAUAAGAUUCCUGCAGCAGAUCAAACAAAUCAUCAAUGUGCGGCAAGGGAUACUUAUUCUUGAUGGUCACUUUAUUCAGCUCCCGGUAAUCUACACAUAACCUGAGCGAACCAUCCUUCUUCUUUACAAAUAAUACCGGCGCUCUCCACGGCAAAACACUGGGUCUCACAAACCCUCUAUCCAUCAAGUCCUGAAGCUGUGCCUUUAGCUCUCUCAGCUCUGCCGGCGCCAACCAAUAAGGUACCUUUGAGAUUGGUGCAGUUCUAGGAACUACAUCAAUCACAAACUCAAUCUCCCUCUCCGGCGGCAACGUCGUCAACUCAGUGGGAAACACAUCCGGAAACUCGCGGACUACUGGGAUGUCCUCGAGUCCCGGCGCCGCCGUAGGUACCUCCACAACUGUCGCUAGGAAAGCGAUACACCCACUGCUCAGCAUCUGUCUAGCCCUCGCCGAAGAUAUCCAGGUGACAAACAGCGCGCUCCUGCAGCCUUUGAAAGUAAACUCCUCCUGGCUUGGCUCGCGGAACGUCACCGUCCUCGCUCCACAGUCGAUCGUAGCAUAGUACCGCGCCAGCCAAUCCAUACCGAGCACUACGUCGAAGUCCUGCAGCUGCCCUAACACCAACAGGUCUGCGGGCAUGAUCCAAGAGUCUAACUGCACCGGACAGGACCAACAACACUCUGUAACCUGCAUGACAUAGUCAGGGAUCUGCACCUCUCGUGCCUGAGACAACGUUCCUAACUCUAGACCAUGUAACUGUGCAAAUACUCGGCUAACAAAGAAAUGCGAUGCACCGGUAUCAAAAAGAGUGCGAACUCUAAUGCCAGAAAUCAAAGUGAUACCUGCCACCACUCGGUCGGCUGCUGAAGAGUCCUCCACCUGAGCUGCGUAGACCCUGCCACUCGGAGCCUGCUGUCGCCGCUCACUUGACCGCGGCACAGACGAUCUGUCCUCCUGGCGGUAGCUCGGUGCUGCUCUGUAAGACUGCUGUGGUGCUGGUGGUGCCGAAGCUGAUGACGGUGCUGGAGAUGCUGUUCGGGGACAAGCUGCACUCAUGUGUCCCGGCUGACCACAUCCGUAGCACCUGCCCUCUUUCUGCUCGCACUGCCGAGGCCAGUGUGGUCCCCCGCAGAUCACACACUGUGGCGUCCUCUGAGUCUGCCCCUGCUGACGGGAUCCCCUGGAACGCUGACGCCCCGAAGACCCACGACCCUGAGAACGUGAUCGUGGAGGCCUCGGCGGACGUCUGCUGCUCGACUACCCUCCGUCAUCUGGAAAGGGGCGCUUCCUGUCCUGACCCUGCCCCACGUCCUGAGUCCUCUCCUGCAGCGACACCUCACCUCUCUCCACCCAUAGGGCCUGCUCUAUGGACGCAUCCAGGGUCCUCGACCUCUGCGCCCGCACUAACCUGAAGAUAUCCGGUCUCAGCCCCUGCUCGAACAUGUAUACCCUGUGCGCCUCGUCUCUGGCCGCAAAUGGUACACAGUUCAGGAGUCGAGUAAACUCCCGAACAUACUCCUGCACUGGGCGAUCUCCCUGCUGAAGCCUCCUCAAAUCCUCCUCGAGCUUCUGCUUCACACUGUUGGGAAAGAACAUCCCAAACAGCAUUCCACAGAACUCAUCCCAACUCAGCUGCGCCGCCACUAGCCCCUGGUCUCGCCUCGUCUCUCCGCCACCAGUCAUGAGCAUCACCUGCUAGACAGUGUACUCCCAGGGGUACCUGCUCCCCCUCCGGAAUGAACAGAUCCUCAAAUAGCUUCUCUAUCGCACUGACCCAUCCCUCAACAACCCAGGCCUCAGUGCAUCUGCCAUCAAAAAUUGGUGUGUCAAAUCGGCGAAAACGAGCCAACCUCUCCGUCCACCGCUCCUGCUCGGCCUCAGUAAACUGUACUGGCCCCCGAGCAGGCGCAACUGGCGCUACUGGAACUGCUGCUGGCGGAGGGACUGCUGCAGCUGGUGCUGUCACUGGAGUAGUCGGGGGUGGAACUAGCAACUCUGGUACUCUCGGUGCUGAACUCGGUGACUGAGCUACCCUCUCACACAACCUCUGCAACAACUCCCCCUGCUGCUUCGUCAACUCGGUCGGGGCAGCUAACUAUGCACUCAGAUUAGGGGGUGCGCUAGCCUCAGGUCGCGCACUCGGCUCCACAACAGGGGGUGCACUCGCCUCCAGUCUGUCACCCUGCUCCUGCCGAGUACUCUGCUCCAUCUGCUCAGGUCUCUCAGAAGGUCCAGCAUGAUCCCGCGCCAACUGGGCACGCUCCCGUAACGACGGCCGACCUCGGCGACGAUACAUAGCUGAAAGGAACAGAUCGGGGUCAGUUGAAACACAAACACUCUUGACCCAAUCAACGAAAGUCUGGAAGGCGGUCCCUGUUUCUCCUCAAAAUUAUGUCGUCUGCAGCCAACAUAAUUUCUCAGGCCAAAACAGAAACUCCUUCAGUCACUCACUCUACUCUAAGAGGAGUUAGAACAAUAAUCAUUGACUUUCGCAAUUAAAUUACGCCUCUCGCGUCUUGCUUUCCUAAGGUUUGCCAAACUUAGGUUUCCUAGGUCCCAACGACCUACAGCAAAGCUCUGAUACCAACUUAAUCUGUCACGCCCCGGAUUACACUUUCCCCGGGCGCGCCGACAAAUCCGCCGUAUACAAAGGAAUUUCCCCUGUAUACGAAGCGAUAGCUGUACCUGUAAAUCAAACACUACUACGAACAGUAAUAGAGAGCUGCUAGAGAAAACAGAAGCUAAACAAACUGAGUUUCAUAUACAUAGUCCAAAUCCAAAAUACAAAGCUACUCGCACUGGCGAGUUAAGUCCACUAUGUACAUAAACUCGAAACAAAACAUAUACCUGCAAUAGGGGCACCUCUAGCUCAGCACGUCGGGUAGGGCUCUAACUCGUGAUGCCCUUGCCUCGAUCCUGAUCCGCGGAAGGCGCAGCAGCCGAAACCUGUGGCUCUGCAAAACAGGGGUAACAACUGGGCGUGAGAACUACUGUAAAAACAAGUAGUCCUCAGUGGGUACCGUCCAAAACAAUAUCGGUCCAUCCACUAAGUCUACAGAAGGGAGCAAGAAUAGCCAAAAAGCAGGAAAUAAACUCAACCGCUACAAAUCACUAUACUAUCAUGCUCUACACUAACCAACUGUAGGAAAUGUCAAAUCUGACCCAAUCCAAUCGGAACUGUAGACAUACCCGUCCCUGGGACUGUGAACACACCCGUCCCUACUCAGUUGCAACUAUCAGGCUCUAUCCAUACAACUGGUCCGUGGAGAGCAAGUCCAACCGGCAUGAGCGACACCAACGCGAAAGCACAAAGCCUGACUUCGGAGUGGCACUCGUGGGCGCUACCCAUCCGAGUAUGUAGCGUAUCUCUGUCGAGCUCAAUCAGGCUCCAACUAGCCAAAGUCGAGUGAACAGGGUCAAAACAGGUCUACAAACCAAACCCACGUGCCCUCGGCACAAUCUAUGACCAAAACAAGAAUCUGGGUCCACCGCUAACCCGAACGGCACCCAACGACCCGAAACAGCCUAAACUCUACUGAAGAAAAUAAGCUCGGCACCCCAGCACGAGCAUAAAUGCCUUCUAAACUACCCCAAGUAUCCAUCGCACUGAUACUGCAAUGAUACAAUCGAAUCACGGCUCCUAGAGUUAAAUCUGGUAGUUUAAGCAUAUGACGGGUCAAAACGCAGGUUUUCUCCUAAGUCAAAUUUCAAGUCUAACAUGUAUAAUAUAAAUAUUCAUUUCAGCAUGCUUUUACAUUCAUAUUACAUUCAAGAUGCUAAUCGAUGAAUUAAAGCAUGAUAUACAAAAAUCGAAUUAUACACGUCGACUAAACAUGCACUUAGAAGCGAAACCGAUGAUAACCCACCUCUAGUGAAAUUCCUGGCAGCAAGAGGGUUUCGGAUCUCUAGCAACACUGCUGGAAACACCUCCAAACCAGCAACAAAGCCCCUCAAGAUCUGGAUAUAACAAAUCACCCAAAAUCUAAUAAAAUUCAUCAAUUUCAGCCUUAAGCUUAGGAUUUAUCCAAUUCCAAUGUCAAAACUCACCUAAUGGUCUCCAAUUCAGAUGAGUACAGUUCCAAAACCAGCAAAUACUGAGGGGUGAUCAAACUCAGGUCCAAAAUCCCAUUGCCAACAAACAUAGCAUCAAGAAAAGUUCAAAAAUCCUAAUUUCAGCUCAAAGUCAACAGUAGUCCAGAAAAAUCUCAGUUCGACCAAGCUAACCUCAACCAAAAUCAGCAAUUUAGGGCUUCGUGGAUUCCUCUGGGAGUCUAGAAUCCAGCAAACCAAGUUUCGUCGAAAUCCGACCUUCCUACGUUGCGCACGAGCCAAAACACUGGAGGUCGUCGCUGAAGAACUGCAGAAUCAGCACUCCAUCAAGCUGGAUCAAUGGAAGUUUGAUGCAAUUUGAGGCAAAUCCGAGGGUUGAAAUGCUAAAAGAGACCUCUCUGUGAAGAAGGGAGAAAAAGAGCAGCUAAGGGGCGCAUUCCAUCUAUUUAUAGUGAGUUAGAAUGAUCCAAAAAGCCUCAGGAACUCAAGCUGCUAUCCAGUG